UACGAAGGGGGCUAGCGUUGUUCGGAUUUACUGGGCGUAAAGCGCACGUAGGCGGAUUGUUAAGUCAGGGGUGAAAUCCUGGAGCUCAACUCCAGAACUGCCUUUGAUACUGGCAAUCUAGAGUCCGGAAGAGGUGAGUGGAACUCCUAGUGUAGAGGUGGAAUUCGUAGAUAUUAGGAAGAACACCAGUGGCGAAGGCGGCUCACUGGUCCGGUACUGACGCUGAGGUGCGAAAGCGGUGGGGAGCAAACAGGG
rnacentral:rRNA from 1 species